UGGUAGUGUAUUGGACAACCAUGGCAGUCACGGGUAACGGAGAAUUAGGGUUCGAUUCCGGAGAGGGAGCCUGAGAAACGGCUACCACAUCUACGGAAGGCAGCAGGCGCGCAAAUUGCCCAAUCCCGACACGGGGAGGCAGUGACAAGAAAUAACAACUCUAGGUUUUCUUAGAAGUGUAAUGAGGAUAAUUUACAAACCUUACUGAAUGCAAUUGGAGGGCAAGUCUGGUGCCAGCAGCCGCGGUAAUUCCAGCUCCAAUAGCGUAUAUUAAAGUUGUUGCAGUUAAAAAGCUCGUAGUUGAAAAUCUGAUUGUUCAGGUUCUCAGCCAUUAGGCGAGGGCUCUGGCAGUCAUCCGCUUGCAAACAUAUGUUCGACCUUAACCAGUUGGCUAUGUGAGUAAGCAUUUUACCUUGAGAAAAACAGAGUGUUCCAGGCAGGUUUGUCCGGAAUGCAUUAGCAUGGAAUAAUAGAACAUGACUGAAGUCUAUUUAUUGGUUAAAGGCUUUAGUAAUGAUUAAUAGGAACAGUCGGGGGCAUUCGUACUCAGCAGUCAGAGGUGAAAUUCUAAGAUUUGCUGAAGACGAACUAAUGCGAAAGCAUUUGCCAAGGGAUGUUUUCAUUAAUCAAGAACGAAAGUUAGGGGAUCAAAGACAAUCAGA
rnacentral:rRNA from 1 species